rnacentral:rRNA from 1 species
UACGGAGGGUGCAAGCGUUAUCCGGAUUCACUGGGUUUAAAGGGUGCGUAGGUGGGUCUGUAAGUCAGUGGUGAAAUCUCCGGGCUUAACUCGGAAACUGCCAUUGAUACUAUCUGUCUUGAAUACCGUGGAGGUCAGCGGAAUAUGUCAUGUAGCGGUGAAAUGCUUAGAUAUGACAUAGAACACCAAUUGCGAAGGCAGCUGGCUACACGAAUAUUGACACUGAUGCACGAAAAGCGUGGGGAUCAAACAGG